AGACUGUAGACUACACUUGAUUUAUGUAAAUAUGAGUUUUUAUAGAGUGUGUUUUCAUGUAGUUGGCAAGACUAUAAUAUGUCAAGAAAAAGACCCCAGUUACAUGUUCUUACAGAUUUAAUUUUUGCCUUCUGAGAACUUCUAGGGCUGCUGGAGCAAAUCAAAAGGAACUUGCUCAACCCUUUAUGAAACUCUUUAUUAUGCUUAUUUGGAAUAAAGCAGACAUUGUUCAGAAUAUGCAAGCACUGAACAACUGAAUGAUACCUAUAUUCACAAAAAUACCCAAACAUAUUUUAUGCUGCUGGUUAACUAAAAUGUUUCAUCUUGAAAAAUCCAGUUGGAUAAGGCAACAUGCUCUGGAUUCUCCCAGCAUCAAAGUGGCUCCUUCUAAGUCAUGCACCUGCAUUAAAAUUAUUAGUCCUGUUUUUGGCAUUGGGACAUCCUGCUCAAUAUCGACUACCUAUUAGGGUUACCUCUCAUCUUUUGCAUCUUUUGUCACAGCGGACUAUUUUGGCUUUGUUUUCCAUUUCCUGAUUAAUAAUGACACUAAAUUAUUUUUAGCAUCUUUGCAUGCAGAGUGAAUGAAAAGAUCACCAGAAACUUAUUUCCGUGUUUCAUCAAAACAGUCAUAGCAAAAAGUAUGGAGAAAAAAGUCUCAGUGUUUCCAGUUAAGCCACAAAAGGAAAAGAUAAAUAUUUUCCUUAAAAUAUCAAAGUCAGUAUUGAAUUUCAUUAUGGUUGGGGACAAUAAUGUCAUUGUCACUCUGUUCAGAUGUACAGCGACUCAGCAAAGCAAUUUCGAACCUUUUUAUUUGUGUGGCAUCUUUCAACUUGUCUAACUUUCAGGAGUCUUAAUGCCAUUUCUCAUUGUUGGGCGCUCUGUAGGGCGAAACUCUGGGUUCCAGUUCGCCCCGGUCAGUCUCUGGGUCAUCCAGGUAACAGGGGCCGGAUUUGCAUCCCAUGGGGGUAGUGACUGUUGUCCCAGAUGCUUGCCCCAUGCAGAUGCGCCUCCCUGUGAGCCCACCGCCGUAACCUCAGACCCCACGCGUUCAGCUGCCCCUCGGGCCAUGCCCUGCAGCGGUGGGGAGGGCACUGAUCAAUCCCACGCCCUUCCCUGUGGCCCGCUCCCGGUUUCUGGGGAUCCAGGGAAGAAAGCCGUCCGGUACGUGCCAUCCCCGGCGGCCGCGAGAGGGAACGCGGGGCGCCGGGUGCCCCGCGGCGUCGCCCGGGGGUCCAGGCGCGAAGCCGGGCGGGGCCGCGACGCGGGUCCGAGCGCCCGAGGCGCCGGCGGAGCAUGUGACCACGCCGCGCGGGGCCGGGCGCGCAGUGCCGCGCGGUGGCGGCGGCGGGCAGAGCAAUGGAGGCCGCGGCCGCCUGAGAGGCGGGUGCGCUGCCGGGGCUGCUGCGGAGCUGCUGGUGCUGCGGGGCUGCCGCGGGCUGUGCAGCCGCGUCCGCCGCCCGCGCGGGACCGCCCGUCGCCGUCCGGCCGCUCGGCCAGCCUCGGCGCCAGGCGGGGACCUCAGUUUUAAAAGCCUCAGUCUCCGAAGCAUGCAUAUACACAUCAGUGAAAAAGAGAAAAAUCUUCCCUUAGUAAGUGAGAUUGAUGGAACUUCCCUCUAUGAUUGAAUUUCUGUAUUUCUUAUUCCUAAUAGAAUGACAUAAAUAUUUCUACAUUGUAUAACUACUUGUGCACACAGACAUUCCUAUUUUCUGAAAAUAUGUCUUGAUAGUCACAGAUAAUGAAAGAUAAAUGAAAAACAAUCCUGAAAAGCCUAGUUAGCAUUUCAUGGGUCUCGUUCUUUGAAACAUCCGCUUUCUCCCUAUCUGUCAGCUUUCUCAUCCACAUUUUUAUCCCAUCCACUGUAAAAGUCCAUAGUCCAUUCUGACAGCCACUCUCUUGGCAAUAUCCUGAACUUUCUUGCCUUUCCAUAAUGCAAGCCCAGCAAACACUAAACCCUGGGUGAAUCCCAGCUGUUUGCUUUCUCCAUGCCUGUUUCUGGCGUGAGUGGCUGCUGAGUUCAUCUGGAAAAACAAGAAGUCAUACAACCAAGCAUAAAUGAGUGAAUGAAUGCAUGAAUUACAGAAAAGUACUGUUCAUCAGUAUAUGAACAAGUAAAAAGUUAUGAUGGCAUAGAAUAAUUGCUCUAGAAGUCAGAGAAAGAGGAGAUCAUUGUGAAUUCGGAUAAUCGAAGAAGGGAUAAGCUUUAACUUCUCUUCAGUUUUCUGCCAUUACUUCUGGUAACUGCUACCAAGUGGGAUGUUAUGAAGAGCUAAACCCAAACAUUUAACAACAAAACUAACAAAACUAGAGUUGUUUAAACCCUACAUACCAGAGAUAAACACCAAACAGAUUUUUUGUGUUUUCCACUAAAGAAACAAAGACUGACUUGACAGAAAGUUUACACAGGGAGUAGCGGGAGACUGGAAGAUAAAGUUGGGCCAGUUAAUGGAAGGUCUUGAAAUGCUAGACAGAGGAUUUUAAAAUAGAUUGGAAAUAUUUUCUUGUAGUUACCUGUCAUCUAACACUGAUUUACCUGUCACUAAAGCUUUCAAGAGAUACUCUAGGGCUUGGAAUAAAAUUUCCUUAAAAAUAAUUCUUUUUCA
rnacentral:lncRNA from 1 species